UUCCCCAACAAACCAGCCUUGCAGGAAUUGCACCCAUAGCACAAUUGGCUUUGGUCAUUGCUCCAGGCAUAACAGUCCGAGUCUGCAAUCGGAUUGGUGGGGUUCAUCCACAAUGUUGGGUUCACAUACCCAUAAUUGCAGAUUGUUGGAGGUUUACAACACCCUGACUGUACCAUAUUUAAAAAAUAAAAAUAAAAUUAAAAGGGUGAGAAAGGGAAAGACAAAGUAAAAGGCAAAAAAAAAGAAGAAAAACCCACACCUAACCAAUAUCACCAUAGAACAUUAUGCCAAAGCUGGCAACCAUAACUUGCUGCUUUAUUUAUUUGUUUUUUUCCUUAUCUUCUGCAAUAAAGACAAGCUAUGGUCUCCAUCAUUCUAGGUUGAUCCUUCCUUUGCGCCAACCCUUUGUUGCUUUUGUGAUGGGAAGAAUUUUCCUCUCAUGAGAAGUUCAAUAAUGAGUCUAAUGAACCCACACAACAGGGACCCACCUAAGCUAUUUAAAUCCUGACCCUCGAAUCAGAUAGAUCAACUCUUUGAUAUGUGGAGAGGAUGGGGUAGAUGCAUCAACCAGAGGACUAAAGAAUAAAAUUGGACCGUGGGUAUUACCUUUUCUUUAAGCAAAAAUGGGUCCUGGUUUGAAGUUUGAAGACACCUCAUUUAAAUUCAAUACAUUCAUACACUUUUUUUCUAAAAUUGAACAAACUCCAUGUAACCCCAAAAUAAUCUUUUAUCACACUUUACAUUAAAAUCAUUCUACAUUACAUGAUACACAGAAAUCAAAAUUUAUUACUUCCACAGUGUCAGUGUCAUUUAGAUCUCCACAUGAUUUUUUUAGUUCUGUUUUUAUGAAUAAAAGAAACAUGGAGACUUGAAGUUUAAGAAUGUUUGAAUUGCAUUUGAUUUUGUUGUAGAUCAUGGCAUGGGUGAAUGAACCAUAUUUCUCAUCAUUUUCGACUACUUUUUCUACAAUCAAAUAAGAAUAUUUUGUUUUUUCUUCACACUAUGUUGAAUUUGGUGAAAUUAACAACUUGGUAGUUGGUAGUGAAGAAAGAGUGUCUGGAAGAAGAGAAAAGAAGUGGAAUUGAGGAAAAUUGGGAGUUGUGGGGACUUGCCUGAAGAGGAGAGAUGUGAGCCAUGAAGAACUGAUCGGCGGUGAUAUAGUUCUGGCUGAGCUUGGAGCAGACAUCGGACUGAGCGAGGCAAGUCCUGAUCUUGUUCCAGUUUCCGGACUUGGUGACGUAGUUCCUCAGCCACGACGAGAACCCUUCCAGCCGGUACUCCUUGUAGGCGCGGCCGGGGACGACGUAGCUGCCGUCGGAAUGACUAACGACGAAGGCGAAGACGAGGAGGAUGAGGAGGAGGCCGAUGAGGAGCCCCAUACAGAAGAGGUAGAAGGCCAGAAGGCCCUUCUUGUUCCAGUAAGCGCCGACGAAUCCAGCGAGGGAGACGAGCAAGAUGAGGACGCCGAGGAGGGCCACCGGCCAGCGGAAGAGGUGGA
rnacentral:lncRNA from 1 species